CAGCCGCCGCGGUAAUACGUAGGGUGCGAGCGUUGUCCGGAAUUACUGGGCGUAAAGAGCUCGUAGGCGGUUUGUCGCGUCGUCUGUGAAAUUCUGCAGCUUAACUGUAGGCGUGCAGGCGAUACGGGCAGACUUGAGUACUACAGGGGAGACUGGAAUUCCUGGUGUAGCGGUGAAAUGCGCAGAUAUCAGGAGGAACACCGGUGGCGAAGGCGGGUCUCUGGGUAGUAACUGACGCUGAGGAGCGAAAGCGUGGGUAGCGAACAGGAUUAGAUACCCCAGUAGUCCCUGUCUCUUAUAC
rnacentral:rRNA from 1 species